GUUUACAAAAAUAUAUUAUUUGUUUCUGCUACUCACGGAUACAUUCUUUUUCCAAGCAGAGAGAAGAAGUAAAAGAGAAGUGGCGCAUUGUUUUUUUCAAAACUCAACCCCCUCUUCUUAUCUUCUUGACCUCUUCAAAUCUCAGUGUUAUCUCAGUGUUAUACAAAGCCACAGAUUCAUAGCUCAAACUCAGUCUAUAUUGCUCAACCCAGUAAUCGUUACAAAGGAUUUUUGGUUGUUGUAUUGUACGUGUGUGUUUGGAACUUUGGAUGGUGACGGAGGGAAUGCGUGUUGGGAAAUACGAGCUUGGGAGAACGCUGGGUGAAGGGAACUCUGCAAAGGUCAAAAUUGCUACGGAUAUUGUUUCUGGCCAAUCGUUUGCCGUCAAAAUCAUCGACAAGUCGCGUACCAGUCGCCUCAACGUACCUUUUCAGAUUAAGAGAGAGAUACGCACACUCAAAGUCUUGAAGCAUCCAAACAUUGUCAGAUUACAUGAGGUCUUGGCUAGCAAAACCAAGAUCUACAUGGUCCUUGAAUGUGUCGCUGGAGGAGACUUAUUUGACAGAAUUGUAAGAUUCAUGUAUACAGUCUCCAAAGGAAAACUUUCAGAAACAGAAGGAAGAAAAAUGUUUCAGCAGUUGAUUGAUGGAAUAAGCUAUUGUCAUAACAAGGGCAUUUUCCACAGGGAUCUCAAGCUAGAGAAUGUUCUUCUUGAUGAAAAUGGGCACAUUAAGAUCACUGAUUUUGGCGUUAGUGCUGUGCCUCAGCAUUUUAGGGAAGAUGGAUUGCUACAUACAACCUGUGGUAGUCCUAACUACGUCGCGCCUGAGGUUCUAGCCAACAAGGGCUAUGAUGGUGCUGCAUCAGAUAUAUGGUCAUGUGGAGUAAUCUUGUAUGCUAUUCUUACUGGUUGUCUCCCUUUUGAUGAUACAAACCUCGCCGUUCUCUGCCGGAAGAUAGUCAAAGGUGACCCUCCAAUACCUAGAUGGUUAUCACCUGGUGCUAAAACCAUGAUCAAAAGAAUGCUCGAUCCAAAUCCAGUCACAAGGAUGACAGUCGCAAGUAUUAUGGGAAACGACUGGUUCAGACACGACUACUCUCCUUCCAGUUGUGAUGCUGAAGAUGAAUCAUCCUCAGUCGAAGAAGAUGUAUCAGAAGAAGAGAAGAGCCAUGAUUCAUCAACCGUCAUCAACGCCUUUCAGCUGAUCGGAAUGUCACCGUUUCUAGACCUCUCCGGUUUGUUUGAGACAGAGACAGUAUCAGAGAGGCAGAUAAGAUUCAUGUCAAAUAGGUUAGCCACUGAUGUUAUGGAGAAAAUAAAAACAAUUCUCAUGGAGAUGGGUUUCUACGUACAGAAGAAACACACAAUGGUGAGAGUCUCUUUUUGCUCUCUUCUUAGGGCUGUCAAAAUGGGUAAACCAACCCAAACCAAAACACACAAUGUUAAAAGCAAUCCGAGAAGAGAGUACUCGAAAAGGGCCAGGCGGGUUAUCAUUAACGGCUGAGGUAUUCGAGAUAAUCCCAUCGCUGAAUGUGAUUGAACUAAGAAAAUCACAUGGCGAUUCAUCUCCAUAUAAACAGUUGUGCGAGAGAUUACUAAACGAAUUGGACGCAUCAUCCCAAAUAUAAAAGCAGAAACAAAUGUUGUGAUAGAUGAUUUUUUUUUUUUUUGACAGCAGACAUAUACAGAUUCAUAUAGACUCUGUAAACCAAAGUGGUAAAUCUGCAUCCAUGUACACGACGAAAAACGGUUGUUGCCGAGCACUAUGUGCCAAGCUAUCCGCCCUUUUGUUCUCCAUCUUAGGAACAUGAACGAUAUCUGAGUUGACAAAACUUUGUCGCAAAAGCUUAAUAUCUUCCAGAUA